rnacentral:rRNA from 1 species
UAGCUAGUUGGUAGGGUAAGGGCCUACCAAGGCGACGAUCGGUAGCUGGUCUGAGAGGAUGGCCAGCCACACUGGAACUGAGACACGGUCCAGACUCCUACGGGAGGCAGCAGUGGGGAAUAUUGGACAAUGGGGGCAACCCUGAUCCAGCAAUGCCGCGUGUGUGAAGAAGGCCUGAGGGUUGUAAAGCACUUUCAGUGGGGAGGAGGAUUGAUAGGUUAAGAGCUAAUUAAUUGGACGUUACCCACAGAAGAAGCACCGGCUAACUCCGUGCCAGCAGCCGCGGUAAUACGGAGGGUGCGAGCGUUAAUCGGAAUUACUGGGCGUAAAGGGUGCGUAGGUGGUUUGAUAAGUUAUCUGUGAAAUUCCUGGGCUUAACCUGGGACGGUCAGAUGAUACUGUUGGACUCGAGUAUGGGAGAGGGUAGUGGAAUUUCCGGUGUAGCGGUGAAAUGCGUAGAGAUCGGAAGGAACACCAGUGGCGAAGGCGGCUACCUGGCCCAAUACUGACACUGAGGCACGAAAGCGUGGGGAGCAAACAGGAUUAGAUACCCUGGUAGUCCACGCCGUAAACGAUGUCAACUAGCUGUUGGUUAUAUGAAUAUAAUUAGUGGCGC